UUGAGAAUAAAGAUGAUAUUGACAGGCUAAGCAUUCCCUAUAGUAAGAUCACACUUGUGUCCCCAGACCUAGUUCUUUACCUAGGUCUGGUUUUAUAAAUGCUGAUGAUAAAC
rnacentral:snoRNA from 1 species